rnacentral:rRNA from 1 species
GACGUAGGGGGCGAGCGUUGUCCGGAAUUACUGGGCGUAAAGAGCACGUAGGCGGAUAUUUAAGUCAGGUGUGAAAGACCGCAGCCUAACUGCGGGGUUGCACUUGAAACUGGGUAUCUUGAGGGCAGGAGAGGUCAGUAGAAUUCCUGGUGUAGCGGUGAAAUGCGUAGAAAUCAGGAGGAAUACCAGUGGCGAAGGCGGCUGACUGGACUGACCCUGACGCUGAGGUGCGAAAGCGUGGGUAGCAAACAGG